rnacentral:rRNA from 1 species
GAUGAACGCUGGCGGCGUGCCUAAUACAUGCAAGUCGAGCGAACAGACGAGGAGCUAGCUCCUCUGACGUUAGCGGCGGACGGGUGAGUAACACGUGGAUAACCUACCUAUAAGACUGGGAUAACUUCGGGAAACCGGAGCUAAUACCGGAUAAUAUAUUGAACCGCAUGGUUCAAUAGUGAAAGACGGUUUUGCUGUCACUUAUAGAUGGAUCCGCGCCGCAUUAGCUAGUUGGUAAGGUAACGGCUUACCAAGGCAACGAUGCGUAGCCGACCUGAGAGGGUGAUCGGCCACACUGGAACUGAGACACGGUCCAGACUCCUACGGGAGGCAGCAGUAGGGAAUCUUCCGCAAUGGGCGAAAGCUUGACGGAGCAACGCCGCGUGAGUGAUGAAGGUCUUCGGAUCGUAAAACUCUGUUAUUAGGGAAGAACAAAUGUGUAAGUAACCAUGCACGUCUUGACGGUACCUAAUCAGAAAGCCACGGCUAACUACGUG